rnacentral:rRNA from 1 species
GAUGAACGCUGGCGGCGUGCCUAAUACAUGCAAGUCGAGCGAACGGACGAGAGGCUUGCUUUUCUGAUGUUAGCGGCGGACGGGUGAGUAACACGUGGAUAACCUACCUAUAAGACUGGGAUAACUUCGGGAAACCGGAGCUAAUACCGGAUAAUAUUUUGAACCGCAUGGUUCAAAAGUGAAAGACGGUCUUGCUGUCACUUAUAGGUGGAUCCGCGCUGCAUUAGCUAGUUGGUAAGGUAACGGCUUACCAAGGCAACGAUGCAUAGCCGACCUGAGAGGGUGAUCGGCCACACUGGAACUGAGACACGGUCCAGACUCCUACGGGAGGCAGCAGUAGGGAAUCUUCCGCAAUGGGCGAAAGCCUGACGGAGCAACGCCGCGUGAGUGAUGAAGGUCUUCGGAUCGUAAAACUCUGUUAUUAGGGAAGAACAUAUGUGUAAGUAACUGUGCACAUCUUGACGGUACCUAAUCAGAAAGCCACGGCUAACUACGUG